rnacentral:snRNA from 1 species
AGCACUUCUCUACCUUUUGGCUAAGAUCAAGUGUAGUAUCUGUUCUUGUAAGUUUAAUAUCUAUCUACCUACCUCCCUAUCAUCAGAUAUGAAAGUAGAGAAAGC